rnacentral:rRNA from 1 species
UCGCCUGUUUAUCAAAAACAUCGCUGAAUAAGUAUACUCAGUAAUAUCUGCCCAGUGUUUAUAAACGGCCGCAGUAUCCUAACUGUGCUAAGGUAGCAUAAUCAUUUGCUCUUUAAUUGAGAGCUAGUAUGAACGAUUCGACGAGAGAUUAACUAUCUCUAUAUUUUGCACUGAAACUGCGUUUAAGGUAAAAACGCCUUUACUCUCCUAGAGGACGAUAAGACCCUAUAAAACUUUACUCCAAAAUAGCAUCUUUCUUUAGACAAAUUUACAAGCUACUUCAGAGUUUAGCUGGGGCGGCUAAUUCUAUUCAAAUCAAAAUUUAAUAUAACAUAGUUAAUGACACUAACAAACGUUUUCAAUUAAGAACAAGUUACUUUAGGGAUAACAGCACAAUAUUCUUUCAGAGUUCUUAUCGUCAAGAAUGCGUGUGACCUCGAUGUUGAAUUGGAGUUUCUCAGGAGGAGCAACCUCUCCUAAAGAAAGACUGUUCGUCUUAUAAUUCUCCACAUGAUCUGAGUUCAAACCGGA